CCGGAACCGGGCCAACAAGCACCUGGAAGUUGUAUCGCUGAAGAGAAGACGUCCGCUUGCUCUCGGCACCACGCCACGCUGCACCGGAUCGCUCGCAGAAAGCCGGCUAUUCAGGAAGGACUGUGAUCGAGCCCGUGUCCAGGUUAAGCGGCAGGGACAGCGAGCAUGGACCACACUUCCCAGCCUUCCUGAAUCCAGAUGAACUAGACCAGCGUGGGAAAUAAAGGCUUCAGUCUCCAUUGGCGUCGAUGGCUGAAGCCAAGAAGUCAAGAGAAGGCGGAGACUCAGAAGGGCAGCGCUGGAGGACUUGGGAGAGAGCAGCGCGAGGAGCAGCUUACUGUGGGUGUUGCUAUCAAUAAUAACCUCCUGGAAAGCGAAGGGAGUCAAACCUCUGCACAACACUCCAAGCAUUCUUGGAUGCAGCCAGAUACCGAACAGAAUGGACGGCAUGCUGGAAACAGAAGUCACUGAGAUCUGACAGAGCGAGAGAGCGAGAGGUGGGGGCAGGAGGGGGGCAUACCAGCAGAGGAACAAAGUAGGAGACUUAUCUUUAUCCUCCAUCUCCCAGGCCCACAUGCCCCCUUUUAGAAAAUACUUGAGUUCUUUCCAAAAAUACAUGAAAGGAAAUAGACUGAAGAGUUUUCUGGAUGGACUGUGGCACUGGGGCCAUUCUGAAGUACGUGAUCAGGAACUGAAAGCAAGAGGUGGAAACCCCUGUUUUAGCUGAAUGGAAGGGCUCCUGAUUCACACACAAAUCUUUUCCAUUGCCCGUAAAUGACUAAAACACACACAUUAAAAAAAAAAAACAAUUAAAGAAUUUCAUAAAAAGGUUAUCUGCAGUUUAUAGCUUUCCCUGAAAGAAAAGAAAACACUUUCAAAUAUAAUUAUCUUACUAUAAACUGUUUUAAUAAAACUUAAUCCCAUGUGUGGGGGGGGAGAGGGGAGCCAGCUUACGGUAGAUGGUUGAGAAUAACCGAUUGAGAAACCAUGUUUCCUGAGGGUGUGUUGGCUGCAAAGGAGACAGUGGCAGAAGCUCCUUAGGGACAGAGCGAUGUGGAAUUGGAGGGGGUCCAGGCAGGAGACAGACGAGGGCCCCAACGCCGGGAAAAAGCAUUUACAGUGGGAAUUGUAUAAAGGAAGAAAUGAUGGCAUGUAGCGCCUGGAAUCUUUAUGGCAUUGGCAGGUAUCAUUGCAGCAACAGACCAAAUCUUUAUGAAAGAACCAAAAGUAGUAGAACUUAGACUAUUUUAAGGCAUUUAAUUAAAUGCUCUCCCUACCUAGAAACCAAGUGAGAGCUCCUAAAGAACUUCUGACACGAGCUAAACUUUACUUCUGAUUCAUAACGACUGGUUGUAAUCCCAUGGCAGUCACGGAAGAGUAAUUGGUUAUGAAGAGCAAGAACUCUAGAAAUAAAAAAUGCAGAGGCUGAAAAUGGGUUUGUAAUCCUUUUCACACCAGGUGGAAAUGGUUAAAUGGAAAUAAAGCACUUAGGUCAUUAAAAUAAUAAAAAGGAAGCUCUUUAUUAUACAUCGGUCUUAUUUUCAAUAAAAACAUGUCAUAUUACAGCCAUAUGAAUUACUUUAAAAUGCACACUCAGUAUUUUAGUUGGGAUUACAACCUUGUCUAAAACGCUACUUACUGUCAAGCAUAAAACUUGUGAAACUCAAAGUUUUUGAGUCACUUGGGUAAAUUUAAGGCACAUUGUGGGCUGCCGCCCAGAGGGACUGAGCCGGUCUCUGGAGGGUAUGCCUUGGAGUCUGCGU